AGAGAAUUUCCUUAAAUCCUUUUGCAAACAAGACAUUUCAUGACGUAAUUAAUUGUUUUUAUUUUAUUAAAUUCAUUAGACUUGAUCAUCAUCAAUUUCUCCAUGUUUACUAUUCAACAGGGUGGCAAGCCUAAGAAAAUAAUGGGUUGGGGCGGGUGGUAUUAUUUGGUUAAUUAUCACCGAAAAUGCCUUAAGGAAUAUGAAGCACCGCAAGAAAGAAAAUGACUAAAAUGUCAUCACAUUCUUGACAUAAAUGACGUUCACUCUUUUUCCACAAGCACUAUAUCAGCACCUUGGCAUGUUCAAGUUGUCGUAAUACAACAAAAAUCAUCGCACUGACGUGUGUAAGGAUAAUGAUAAGAAGGUGCACAUGUAGAAUCAAGAACAAUCCAAAUUUAUGUCAACAUCAAAUUCUAUAUUAACAAGUACGGGAAUUUUUUUUAAAAUUAACAUGCAUCAAUAACCACGUCAUUGUCCUGGAAUAGAUUAAAAAAGAUUGACAAAACGUAUAAGUUCUCUUGGAACAAAGGCGAAUGAAAUUAAUGUCGAAUUUUUUUUUAUUUCGUUUUACUUUAAGUGACGUAAAGCGCGAGCUUAAAAGUCGUUAGACCAAAUUUUGGGACUGACGAUGAGCUGGCGCAAAAGUGUCAAUGUUAAAUUAGAACCAGCGUAAAAAGCGCCAAUCUUACAAAUAGCUGUCGCGUAUUGCACGCAUGUGUCUUUGUGAGGGGUGUCAUUAACACACGUCUAUCGCAUAUAACGUCUCAUUGUUAUACUGCUAGUGUACGCUCCGAUCAGGCAAGCAUAAAACGUUAACGAAUUCUUUUUUAUUUUCACACUGAAGGUAAAAGAGUGUUCGAAGAUGUUAUUGGUAGUGUGACAAGUUUUUAAAGAUAUUGGUGUUUCGAUCUCGGACUCGGUAAUGGAAGCAACAAGUCAUAAAUCUUAAGUGUUGUUCAGUUUAUUUACUAUUUUACUAUCCUUUUACUAUCCUCUUAGGUUAUUCAAUUUUGUAUAUAUAUAUCCUUUUCUUACGCUUACGCUACCCCCUCUGCUCUUUUGUGCUUUACACGUACACUUUGCUAGCGAAUCUCGUUCUGUCGUAGGAUUCUGGGACAUCGAGCUUUGCCCUCACCCUCAUCAUUGCGCAGAAGAUUGGGAAAUUAAAUCUGUAUUCAUUGUCAUACCAUAUUUACUCCGUUAUUCCCACCUCUUUAUUAUUUCUUUCUUUCUAUUAUCCCCGCCUCCCUAGUAAACGCGCCCUUUUGGUAUUUCCUAAAAAAAUAAUCCCUUUUCUACAAUGAUAGCGCGAGUGAGAUUGCUGAUAUUUGUACCGAGUCUAUAAUGUAUUUACGUUCUUCUAUUUUCGUCGCAUGUAGCAGUGUAAACAGCAUUUUACAACAAUUUCGAAUGUAUACAUGUUAGACUUUUAGUUAAAGAAUAUAAUUUUUUUUGUUUUUUAUUGCA